UUUUUCAGCUUUGGAACGAAAACCCUGUAUCAAAGCAUCGAUGCUCCACAGUCUAAAUUCUUCCCACCCAUUUUAAAGCCUAUGCUACCACCUAAUGCCUUUCAAGGAAAAGUGGCUUUCAUCACGGGAGGAGGCACUGGCCUUGGCAAGGCAAUGACAACUUUCCUGUCCAGCCUGGGUGCCCAGUGUGUGAUCGCGAGCAGGAUGUAAGACUGAUCACGUAGAGUUAUCCAAACUCAUAAAUUUAAUGUGAAACCUAUGCAUAUUAUAACAGGAAUACAUUUCUUUGGUUGAAGAAUGAAUAUAAUGAUUCUAAUCAAGGAAGUAACGUAAAUCAAUAAGAAUAUUGAUGUUCUGAAAGCUACUGCAGAAGAGAUUACUUCUAAAACUGGAAAUAAGGUCUAUGCGAUUCGGUGUGACGUUCGAGAUCCUGAUAUGGUACACAACACAGUACUGGAGCUGAUCAAAGUUGCAGGGCAUCCUGAUGUGGUGAUAAACAAUGCGGCAGGGAACUUCAUUUCUCCCAGUGAGAGACUGUCUCCCAAUGGUUGGAAGACCAUAACUGACAUAGUUCUCAAUGGUACAGCCUAUGUGACGCUAGAAAUUGGAAAGCAGCUAAUUAAAGCACAGAAAGGAGCUGCCUUUCUUGCUAUCACUACGAUCUAUGCUGAGAGCGGAUCAG
rnacentral:lncRNA from 1 species